UGGUCAUUACCAAGGCUUUUAGAAUGCUGUUUCUAAUUUGCUGUGGACAUGACCAUAAAAAAAAUUUCCCAGUAGGUUUUAUAUCUGCUACCUUGCUAGCAAUCAGCCUAUUGGGAACAUUU